UAGCAAAAGCUUCAGGGUAUCCCUUGGUCGGAUACUCCCGACUACAUCAUUCUUGGUUUUAGAUACAAAUUAAUUGUCGAGUGUUCUUUGCUUUAGUUCCUUUAAUAAAUAUCUAUGAUAAGUAUUUCGAAUUGGUAUAUAUUCUAUAGCUUAAGCGGAUUUCUUUAAAUUUACGUUUUUUGGCAAUUCAUGAAUGCCUUUGGUUAACGUCCCUUUACCAGCCACAAUUUCCGGACAAUGUAGCAAACCGAAAAUAUCUGCGAAAAUAUUCGCCAGAUUGGUGCCACGCCCAACUAAAAACUGGCGCCCAUCAUUCAGUCAGCGUCUUUGCAAUUUCCUUGCAUAUUUCCGCCGUUACAGUUUUCAUCAUCAGCCUUUUUGGCUUUUUCCCCAUUUUAAAUGCACACAUUUUCCUUUUUGUUUAUUUGCCCACGCGGCAUUUGUAAUUUUCAUGAACGCAAUUUUGUGGCCGCCAGCUAAUUGAAUUGUGUGAAUUUUCCAUUUUGCACUGCCCGCCAAUCGAAUUAUUCGCUAGAGACUUGCAUAGAAAAUGCUUUGAUUUCAUAAUUUAUUUGUGCAAUAACUGUAGAACGCGGCACAUCUUUAAGAUACAUUUGUAUCUUGCCAAUUAUCAAAGUCUAGCUGAGGCUUAAAUUGCACGAAAAUCGAAACAAUUGAAUUAUCAUAUUUCAAAACAACACAAACCGUUAUCAGAUGUGACCUUGGCACAGGAAACUAUCCCCUGGCUAAUUGUGCACUGAUCUCGAGUGAUCCAACACCCUUGGGAACAGAGGCCAAGCCCGAACCAAGCAACCAAGCAACAACAUUCAAUGCCAACACUUGUCACUCGACAGACAAAUAACAAAAUUAUAUGGAAAUGCAACAAAUGAACUAGGGAAAACGAGAACUUCUGUGAGGGUCACCAUGGCUGCAGGGCCCUGUGGCAAUGCGCGGAUGAGGCUCUUGUUGUUGUUUACCUGCCAUGUUUCUCCUGUUUGUCCAGACUCUAGUACUCAUGCAUAUUGCCCAAGUUCUUCACCUCAUUUGCAUAGAUAAGGCCUCAAAGUAUGAACAGUUGGCAUGCAGUUACGCUUCAAAGGAAGCGACUAGAUCCUGAAUCCAAUGAGAGAAUCACAAAAUUUAUGUGUACAAAAUUUAACAUCAUAUUUAAUUCUGAUUCAGCAAAAAUUUGUAUUACAAUCACAAGGCACAGCUUAACAAUUUUUAUUACAUAUAUUACUUUGACUUCUGUUUGUGCUCAAACUUUAACAAACUGAUCAAAAUAAUUAUAUUUACUUUUAGAAAAUUUUAUCGUUAAUUCGAUUUUUUAAUGAAGUUUUUCCAAUUAACAGCAUUUACUUUAAGUUACCCAAGCUAUGGACGAAACAUUUAGACGCAAUGAGCUGGAACGUUAGACUUGCCUGUGUCGUGGGUUGGACAUUUGUCGUGUAAUUUAUCAAAAUUCAAACAGAAAGGGAAUGAAUACUACCCCCAGCAGCCGUGGGAAAACAUUGCGCAUACCAUGUUUGAGGUGGGCUAUUAAAAAGCAAUUGCAUAUGUGCAAUUAAUGAGCCGCCGAAUAAAUAUCUCUGUACCAUGUA